GUGUCAGCCGCCGCGGUAAGACGUAGGGGGCGAGCGUUGUCCGGAAUUACUGGGCGUAAAGGGCACGUAGGCGGGAAUUUAAGUCAGGUGUGAAAGACCGCAGCUUAACUGCGGGGUUGCACAUGAAACUGAAUUUCUUGAGGGCAGGAGAGGAAAGUAGAAUUCCUGGUGUAGCGGUGAAAUGCGUAGAAAUCAGGAGGAAUACCGGUGGCGAAGGCGACUUUCUGGACUGACCCUGACGCUGAUGUGCGAAAGCGUGGGUAGCAAACAGGAUUAGAUACCCUGGUAGUCCACGCUGUAAACGAUGGAUACUAGGUGUAGGAGGUAUCGACCCCUUCUGUGCCGCAGCUAACGCAAUAAGUGCCCCGCCUGGGGAGUACGGCCGCAAGGUUGAAACUUAAAGGAAUUGACGG
rnacentral:rRNA from 1 species